rnacentral:rRNA from 1 species
UACAGAGGGUGCAAGCGUUAAUCGGAAUUACUGGGCGUAAAGCGCACGUAGGCGGAUUGUUAAGUCGGGGGUGAAAUCCCGGAGCUCAACUCCGGAACUGCCUUCGAUACGGACGAUCUUGAGUCCGGGAGAGGUGAGUGGAACUGCGAGUGUAGAGGUGAAAUUCGUAGAUAUUCGCAAGAACACCAGUGGCGAAGGCGGCUCACUGGCCCGGUACUGACGCUGAGGUGCGAAAGCGUGGGGAGCAAACAGG